rnacentral:lncRNA from 1 species
CUCCCCAAUCGGAAAUCCGGUCCUUCUCCACGUGCUUAAUGGCCACCUGGAAGAAGACCCCCGAGUCUCCAUCAGACCCUCCUGCUCAAAGCAUCCCUCCGCGCGCCCUCCCCGAGGCGGCGUUGCCCACUCACCGGCAAGUUGUCGGCGACGCGGAUGCCAGAGUAGACCGAGCCGAAGCCACCGCUGCCCAACAGCGGGCCCACCUGGCAUUUGUAAAAUGUUGAUGGCCAAGCAUGAUACCUCAUGCCUGAGACGCCAGCUCUCAGGAGGCCCCCGGCAAGUUCAAGGCCAGCUUGCUCUACAUGAUCCAAAGAAGCGUCUUUCUCUGAUUCCUUUUAUCUGGAAGAACUGAGAGGAGACGGGCGAACGGUUGUGAGAAUCUCUUUAAGGGGCAGUCCUGGAAUGAGUGAAGUGCACCGCUGACUCCUGGCCGCCUGUCUCUCCUAUGGCCUGGCAUCUUCACAGAUGCAGAUUUUGAAAAUGCAUUUCUCCUUUAUCUGAGAGCCCCUCCUGCCCCCUCCUCCAGGACCGACACACUAUGCGUGGAACCUGUGAUGCUAGGCCAUCCUUCCUAUGGUUUGACAUAUUGUCUCACCAGUAAAGGGUAGAGCUGGAACCCACCAUGAAAUCCUGGCCCAGCAAAAUACGUGCCCUAGAGAAGAAGGACCACAAACUCAAGGUCACCUGGGGCUACAUACUUAAGAUCCAGUCUCAAAACUCCAAAUCAAACAAAAAUUGCGCUAAUAAUAAAUUGUAGGAAGUAAGAAGAUGACACCAGGUAGCAGGUCUCAGGCAGCCUCUUUCUGGCUUUAGACUCAUGAUGGCUUAGAGUAGUUUUGAACUCCCAGUAUCAUCUUCUAAAUGUGCAUCUCGACAAAAAAAAAA